UACGGAGGAUGCGAGCGUUAUCCGGAUUUAUUGGGUUUAAAGGGUGCGUAGGCGGGAUGCCAAGUCAGCGGUAAAAAUGCGGUGCUCAACGCCGUCGAGCCGUUGAAACUGGCGUUCUUGAGUGGGCGAGAAGUAUGCGGAAUGCGUGGCGUAGCGGUGAAAUGCAUAGAUAUCGCGCAGAACUCCGAUUGCGAAGGCAGCAUACCGGCGCCCUACUGACGCUGAGGCACGAAAGCGUGGGUAUCGAACAGG
rnacentral:rRNA from 1 species